UGGAAAUUCAGCUCCGCCUUUCGCGCUUGUAGACAACACUCAUUGCCUGAUUAGUCUACUAGCGACAGCCGGCAGAUUUGAAAGUCUGUUGGAGGAUUACACCUAUUCUCAAGGACAUGAAAAGGAGUCGCCAAGGAAGCGAAAAAGAGAAUUAAAACAACAUCGCGACCGGAAAAACAACAGACCAAAGUCAAUAUUGGAGUGGCUUUUCUAAGAUGGAAAGAGCUCGUGAGGAGCAAGGAUUUUAAAAGGGACGCCGAAGUUGCCUGCUUUCUUCUCGACAGAGAGAACUGAGAGCAGUUACAUCAACACCAAUGAAGGGAAAGCUCUCUAGUAUUAACUACUCCAGAAGUGUCCAGCAUUUCUAGUGGGACAGACAGAUGAGCAUCUUGGCGCAAUUGCAGAAGCCCCUGAAAUUGAGAACCUUGAACAGCGGAUCAGCUUUCCAGGAGACUGCACAUGUAGAAUGAUGGCCCAUGUUGCUUCAAAGGCACCAUACAAAAAGGAAGGGUUCAUCUGUAA